GAGUUUGAUCCUGGCUCAGGACGAACGCUGGCGGCGUGCUUAACACAUGCAAGUCGAGCGGAGUUUAGGGGCUUGCUCCUAAACUUAGCGGCGGACGGGUGAGUAACGCGUGAGCAAUCUGCCUUUAUCACCGGGAUAACACGUAGAAAUAUGUGCUAAUACCGGAUAAGACCACAACAUGGCAUCAUGAAGGGGUAAAAGGGUUACCGGAUAAAGAUGAGCUCGCGUCCCAUUAGCUAGAUGGUAGGGUAACGGCCUACCAUGGCGACGAUGGGUAGCCGACCUGAGAGGGUGAACGGCCACAUUGGAACUGAGAAACGGUCCAGACUCCUACGGGAGGCAGCAGUGGGGAAUAUUGGGCAAUGGAGGGAACUCUGACCCAGCAACGCCGCGUGAAGGAAGAAGGUUUUCGGAUUGUAAACUUCUGUCGCAGGGGACGAAGAAUGACGGUACCCUGUAAGAAAGCCCCGGCUAACUACGUGCCAGCAGCCGCGGUAAUACGUAGGGGGCAAGCGUUGUCCGGAAUGACUGGGCGUAAAGGGAGUGUAGGUGGCACAGUAAGUUAUAUGUGAAAUGACGAGGCUCAACCUCGGAGCUGCAUAUAAAACUGCUGAGCUGGAGUGCAGGAGAGGUAAGCGGAAUUCCUAGUGUAGCGGUGGAAUGCGUAGAUAUUAGGAGGAACACCAGAGGCGAAGGCGGCUUACUGGACUGUAACUGACACUGAGGCUCGAAAGCGUGGGGAGCAAACAGGAUUAGAUACCCUGGUAGUCCACGCCCUAAACGAUGGAUACUAGACGAAGGUGGAAUAAAACAUCUGUGUCGAAGCAAACGCGAUAAGUAUCCCGCCUGGGGAGUACGGCCGCAAGGUUGAAACUCAAAGAAAUUGACGGGGACCCGCACAAGCGGCGGAGCAUGUGGUUUAAUUCGACGCAACGCGAAGAACCUUACCAAGACUUGACAUCCCUUGACGGAUAUAGAGAUAUAUCUUUCCUUCGGGACAAGGAGACAGGUGGUGCAUGGUUGUCGUCAGCUCGUGUCGUGAGAUGUUCGGUUAAGUCCGGCAACGAGCGCAACCCCUAUUAUUAGUUGCCAAUAUUAAGUUAGGAACUCUAAUAAGACUGCCGUGGAUAACACGGAGGAAGGUGGGGAUGACGUCAAAUCAUCAUGCCCCUUACGUCUUGGGCUACACACGUGCUACAAUGGGUGCAACAAAGAGCAGCGAGCCCGCAAGGGUAAGCGAAUCUCAAAAAAGCAUUCUCAGUUCGGAUUGUGGGCUGCAACCCGCCCACAUGAAGUCGGAGUUGCUAGUAAUCCCGAAUCAGAAUGUCGGGGUGAAUGCGUUCCCGGGUCUUGUACACACCGCCCGUCACGCCAUGGGAGUUGGGAGUACCCAAAGUCGGCGAGCUAACCGAAAGGAGGCAGCCGCCUAAGGUAAAACCAAUGACUGGGGUGAAGUCGUAACAAGGUA
rnacentral:rRNA from 1 species